rnacentral:rRNA from 1 species
AGAGUUUAAUCAUGGCUCAGGAUGAACGCUGGCGGCGUGCCUAACACAUGCAAGUCGAACGGAAUUUACAUGAAGCCUAGCGAUUGUAAAUUUAGUGGCGGACGGGUGAGUAACGCGUGGGUAACCUGCCUUGUACUGGGGGGACGAACAGUUGGAAACGACUGCUAAUACCGCAUAAGCGCACAGCUUCGCAUGAAGCAGUGUGAAAAACUCCGGUGGUACAAGAUGGACCCGCGUCUGAUUAGCUGGUUGG